UAGAGAGGAGAUCUUGGUAAUUUCACUUUAUAUGCAGUAUCACCGCCCCUCCCUUCUUCAAAACCUAACCCUAAGCCAGAGAAAGAGAGAGGGGAGACAGAGACGGAGAAGUCUCCGGUUUCGACACUGUGGACGCGCCGCGCAUGGUUCUCCGGCGUCGACAUCACAGACGAGUCCGUCGUACAUGGUGGUGGGGAGCGGUGGUACCAGGGUUUCUGGUCACCGUAACGGCGGUCAGCAGCCGUAAGUGGUUGCUAGGUUGUCGGUUGUUGUUUCUGUCGACAUCAGCAGAACUUCGGUGACGGCAGAUAGCGUGACAAGGAUGGCUUGAAGAAGCUCUGGCGAAACACCUAGGGUUCCGGUCCUAUUCCAGCGAAGUUCCGUCCAGAAGGAUUAAAGCUUGCAUCUUCCAUUUGUGAGUAUUAAGGUAAAACCCGUCUACUGUCCGAUUAUACAACCCGAACCAGAUGUCUAUUGCUUGAUUCUUUAUGUUUCAACCAUGUUGGUGGGUAACAGCAAAAUCUUCGCAACUAGGGCAUGAAUUUGAUAACCUUCGUAUCUACGCCCCUCUGGCCUUUGAGCCUUUUAAAAAGGUAAAUUUUAUGUUAGGGUUUUUGUUCUAUCCGCCAGAUAUUACAUAGGGUGUAUAAUCGCUUAUGGUUUUGGAUUAUGAUGUCUGUAGUAGCCGGUUGAACUCACAUUCUGAUGAUAAGUGUUACUUUAGUUUAUUUUCUAAGUUGUUUUCACCAAAAUGUUUGUGUUCAGAGGUGAUACAAGCAUUUAUAUACAUUUUAUAUAGAAUGGAAUGAACAGUAAAAUCUAGGGGUAUUUUAGGGUUUCUUUUAACCCAUGACAAAAACAACGCUUCCCAUUCCAUUAUGGCGGUAGAAAGAGAUAGAGAGAGUACGCGACAGAGGCAGAGUAAGAUAGAGAGAGGCGCGGUGGUGAUGGAGGAACUGACUAUGGUCUCCGGCCGACAGUAAUGUUGUCGAUCGUCGCGCUGAAUGGGAACUUGACGGUCGUGGGUUCUAGGGUUCCGGCGGCGGUACCGGUGACUCUAAUCGGUCGAUUCUGGAGAUGGAAUGGGAGAGUUGAAGGUGAUCUUGAACAACCACAACCUCAGAGACUUGAAUCGUGUUUCCGCGACAAUUUCGGUUCACAGUCCAAGUUGUUUAUUUUAAACAAGGGUUAAGAAGAAGCAAAGUCACCAACGCAUUUCGUUUGUUCUUCAACACCGAGUACCGCUGCAAAGCGCGGGUGGGAAUAAGCGGUUGGUGUAGGUGGAAGGUGUUGUCAGUAGGCAGGUGUGUUUGGAAGCUCCUUUGAAGACUGGAGUGACAACGGUGAUGGUAGAACAGAUGGAGAAUGAUACCAGGAAGCCUACAUUAUUACAUAUUUGGUAGCUAGCAAUUUAAAUGACUAAAAGGGUUCAUCAACCUGCGUGACCGAGGAUAUGUUAAUAUGAGAGACACAUGUUGAGAUGUUUGUUUGGGUUGGUUAGCCUGUAGACUCCAAGGAAAGGCAAAGUGCUUUUGAAAUCAGGCAUGUACCUGUUUAGCAUAUCUUCUAUCAGUAAUAUUGCAAGCUUAUUUUUGUUGUCUAAUAUGUUUUUAAUGAAAGAUAUCGGAAUACAUAUGAGUUCGCUGCAUCUCUAGAUGGGCUAUCCCCAUAUGUACACAGAAGAAAACCAACCUAACUUCUUUACAACAUUUUUCUCAUGGGAUUCUGCAAAAGCCAAUGCAUGUUUUUGUUUCUUAUUUUGUUAAUAUUGUUCGCUUAUAAUAUGGGUUUAUUUGAUGAAUUUGAAACUAUGUAUGCUCUUGAAGUUAGAGGUGGCAAAACGCAAGCGAAGAGACGAAAGAUCGGAUUGUAGGCUAGGUUUAAGGUCUGCCAGUUUCUUGAUUCUACUCCACUUUUCGGAUUGGCUUAGUGUUACAUCUAUCAACUAACUGAGCUUCCUUAGCUGACUGGGCUUUCAGCGCUGAGUUUCAAGACAAGGCGAGUUACAGGACUAAAGAGUGUAUGCUCUUAAACGCAUAUACAACUACAUGUAUGCUCUUAAACUCAUAUACCGCUACGAAGCGGGGUAAAUCAGAUGUAUUCUUUUGAUUAUAUCACAAUCAUAAUUAUUUAUUUUUUCCC